GGCCGACCUCUCAACAGCCUAAAACCUGACGCACCAAAGCCGCGUGAGGGAUGACGGUUUUCGGAUUGUAAACCUCUCCCAAUGGGGACGAAGCCGCAAGGUGACGGUACCUAUAGAAGAAGCCCCGGCUAACUACGUGCCAGCAGCCGCGGUAAUACGUAGGGGGCAAGCGUUGUCCGGAUUUAUUGGGCGUAAAGCGCGUGUAGGCGGCUUUUUAAGUCCGAUGUGAAAACUCUCGGCUCAACUGGGAGACUGCAUUGGAAACUGGAUAGCUGGAGUGCAGGGAGAGGGAAGUGGAAUUCCUAGUGUAGCGGUGAAAUGCGCAGAUAUUAGGAGGAACACCAGUGGCGAAGGCGGCUUCCUGGACUGUAACUGACGCUGAGACGCGAAAGCUAGGGGAGCAAACAGGAUUAGAUACCCUGGUAGUCCUAGCCGUAAACGAU
rnacentral:rRNA from 1 species